ACGGCCGUCACACGGCCAGUUUUAGCACCAAUGAAAGUCUAUGGGGCUAUUCACAUGGCUGUUCUUUUAACGGACAGUAAAUAGCAUCCCUCCAUUGAAAGUGCGCCUGUCUGACAGCUGUUAAAAACGG